rnacentral:rRNA from 1 species
GACGAACGCUGGCGGCGUGCUUAACACAUGCAAGUCGAACGGAAAGGCCCUGCUUGCAGGGUACUCGAGUGGCGAACGGGUGAGUAACACGUGGGUGAUCUGCCCUGCACUUCGGGAUAAGCCUGGGAAACUGGGUCUAAUACCGGAUAUGACGUUCCAUGUAGCGUGGGGGGUGGAAAGAUUUAUCGGUGUGGGAUGAGCCCGCGGCCUAUCAGCUUGUUGGUGGGGUAAUGGCCUACCAAGGCGUCGACGGGUAGCCGGCCUGAGAGGGUGGACGGCCACAUUGGGACUGAGAUACGGCCCAGACUCCUACGGGUGGCAGCAGUGGGGAAUAUUGCACAAUGGGCGGAAGCCUGAUGCAGCGACACCGCGUGGGGGAUGACGGCCUUCGGGUUGUAAACCUCUUUCGACAGGGACGAAGCUUCGGUGACGGUACCUGUAUAAGAAGCACCGGCUAACUACGUG